rnacentral:rRNA from 1 species
UACGGAGGGGGCUAGCGUUGUUCGGAAUUACUGGGCGUAAAGCGCACGUAGGCGGCUUUGUAAGUUAGAGGUGAAAGCCCAGGGCUUAACCCUGGAAUUGCCUUUAAGACUGCAUCGCUAGAAUCGUGGAGAGGUAAGUGGAAUUCCGAGUGUAGAGGUGAAAUUCGUAGAUAUUCGGAAGAACACCAGUGGCGAAGGCGGCUCACUGGCCCGGUACUGACGCUGAGGUGCGAAAGCGUGGGGAGCAAACAGGG